rnacentral:rRNA from 1 species
UACAGGGGGUGCAAACGUUGCUCGGAAUCAUUGGGCGUAAAGCGCACGUAGGCGGUUUGUUAUGUCGGAUGUGAAAGCCCUUGGCUCAACUAAGGAAGUGCAUCCGAAACUGACAAGCUAGAGUACUAAAGAGGGUCGCGGAAUUCCCGGUGUAGAGGUGAAAUUCGUAGAUAUCGGGAGGAACACCGGUGGCGAAGGCGGCCAUCUGGCCCGUAUUUGACGCUGAGGCGCGAAAGCGUGGGGAGCAAACAGG